GGGGCUGUAGCUCAGUUGGGAGAGCGCCGCAAUCGCACUGCGGAGGUCAGGGGUUCGAAUCCCCUCAGCUCCACCA
rnacentral:tRNA from 3 species